rnacentral:rRNA from 1 species
UACGAAGGUCCCAAGCGUUAUCCGGAUUUAUUGGGUUUAAAGGGUGCGUAGGCGGACUAUUAAGUCAGUGGUGAAAGCCCCAAGCUUAACUUGGGAACUGCCAUUGAUACUGAUGGUCUUGAGUACAUUUGAGGUGGGCGGAAUGUGUCAUGUAGCGGUGAAAUGCUUAGAUAUGACACAGAACACCGAUUGCGAAGGCAGCUCACUAACUGUAAACUGACGCUGAGGCACGAAAAGCGUGGGGAGCAAACAGG